UACCAGAGCCCUAAGAGGAGACAGACACUAAGGGAACACUGUACACAGAAGCAGUAGAAAUACUUUGUUGAUCUCUAUCAGGGAUCUGGCGGUUCUGUGAGUCAGACAGUGGGGGCAGCAGGCGGGGCAGGUCCCUAUAAAUGAAUCACUUUGUAACAACCCCCCCCAACUAUAUCUUAAUAAGAGGAGGAGGAGAGCAAUAGUGACAUGAACUUGGUUCCCAUUUAGGUGAAUGUGACAGAGCAGAGCUGGUUCCUGGCACUGAAUGAUAUCAGCAGGGAAUAAGCCCCCAGCGCCACAGCCAUUGGGUAUUUACCUACUUUAACCCAUAGUUUGCCUGGGUCCAUAGCAAGCCAGUGAAAUGCCUGGGAAAGCCCGGCACUAGGACCCUGCAGCUCCUGUCUCCCUGGGGGGCGGGGCCAGGGCAGCUGUUUGUGGGAGUCAGUGAAUUGACUUGUUUGCUUUAAGCCUCCCCUUGUGAAUCCCAGUGGCCCUGGGAGAUUCUCUACACACUGACCCCUUGAUUAGUUGGCUCCAAACUGAUUCCCCUGGGCAGGGGCACUAGGACCCUGGGAAGCUGAUCUGAGGAUUGUGAGAAGAACCUGCAGAUCCGGAAGUGAGGAGAAAGUGAUUGGAUGUGAAGUUGUUACUUUGCUGGAGGGACAGGGAUCAGACCCAGAGUACUGACCCAAUGGUACCGAGCAUAUUAUCUUGGAAAGAAGAUUUAGAGAAGCCCCAGAAGCCAACAAUUCUCUGAUUCUUUGCAUAAAGACAAGAGGCCAUUCGACUGUGCAACUUCUCCAACACCAGGAAAUCUGCACAGACUGAGAAAAAGCUUUAGUGCAAUGAGCAUUCCCAACUCCCAGAAGGAAUGUGGGCAAAGAAUUGCAAACAAAGGUGAUCUUCUUACUCACACAGGGGAGAAACCUUUCACAUGUACAGAAUGCGGGAAAAAAUUUGCGACAGAAAAUUGCCUCAAUACUCACUUGCGGAUUCACACAGGAGAAAAACCAUUCAAGUGUACAAAGUGUGGGAAACGCUUUAGGCUACAUCAUAUCCUUAAAAACCACAUGAAAAUACACACAGGAGUGAAACCAUAUAAGUGCACAGAAUGUGGACAAUGCUUUAAUGCGCUCAGCACCCUUAGAGUUCACCAAAGACUUCACACGGGGGAGAGGCCUUUCACGUGUAUGGAAUGUGGGAAAAGUUUCACUCGAAAGUCAAUCCUUAAAGGUCACCAGAGAGUUCACACGGGGGAGAAACCAUAUGUGUGCACAGAAUGUGGGCGCAGUUUCAGGUUCAAGGUGGCUCUUAGAGACCACGAGAGAGUUCACACAAAGGAAGAACCGUAUGCAUGUAGCGAAUGUGGGAAAACAUUUAGGCGGCGCUCUCAACUACUCAGCCACCAGAAUAUUCACAUACGAAUAGAUCUGUUUCCAUGUAUAGAAUGUGGGAAAAGUUUCUCCCAUGACUGCCACCUUCAGAACCACCUUAAACUUCACAGAGAGACUAAACCAUUUUCUUGUGAGGAAUGUGGGAAAAGUUUCUAUGUAAAAAGCUCCCUUACCAGUCAUCAGGCGACUCACACAGGGGAGAAACCUUUUACUUGUACAGAAUGUGGCAAAAGCUUCUCUGCAAAGUCCAUCCUUUCUUCUCACUUAAUUGUUCACACAGGAGAGAAACCUUUCAUGUGUUCGGAAUGUGGAAAACAAUUCUCUCGUAAGACAAACCUUGACAGACACCUACAACACGUACACACAGAGAGAAUAUUUACAUGUACUGUAUGUGGGAAAACCUUUCCCAGUGUGAGAAACCUUCUCUACCCCUGCACAACUCACACUGGGGAGAAACCAUUCAUAUGCACAGAUUGUAAGAAUAUGACCCCCGUUAUUUCCUUUUCUUGCACAGAAUGUGGCAAACAGUUCCUUAAAAAGGAAUACCUUGGGAAACACCAGGCAAUUCACGCAAGAAGGAAAGAUUUCCCAUGUGCAGAAUGCGGUGAAAGAUUCUCUUCAAAGAGCCACCUUCAGCGGCAUUAUGCGAUUCACUUGGAGGAGAAGCCUUUCCCAUGCACAGAAUGCGGCAAAUGUUUCUCUACAAACGAUAGCCUUAGCAUACACCAGAAAAUUCACAUAAAAAGGGAAACUUUCCCAUGUACACAAUGUGGAAAAUGUUUCCUUGAAAAGGAAUACCUGACCAAACACCAGGAAAUUCACCCAAGGGAAACUUUCUCUUGUACAGAAUGUGGCAAAAAUUUCUCUUCAAAGUAUUACCUUCAGCGGCAUUACAUGAUUCACUCAGGGGAGAAACCUUUCACGUGCGCAGAAUGCGGCAAAUGUUUCCUUGUAAAGGAGUACCUUAGGAAACACCAGGAAAUUCACUCAGGAGAGAAACCUUUCCCAUGUACAGAAUGUGGCAAAGCCUUCUCUGUAAAGGAAUACCUACGGAAACACAAGAAAACUCACAUAAAAAGGGAAUAGUUCCCAUGUACGGAAUAUGGCAAAGCCUUCUCUGCAAAGGAAUACCUACGGAAACACAAGAAAAUUCACAUAUAAAGGGAAUAGUUCCCAUGUACGGAAUAUGGCAAAGGUUUCUCUGUAAAGGAAUAUCUUCAGAAACACCAGAAAAUUCACAUAAAAAGGGAAUAGUUCCCAUGUACGGAAUAUGGCAAAGGCUUCUCUGCAAAGGAAUACCUACGGAAACACAAGAAAACUCACAUAAAAAGGGAAUAGUUCCCAUGUACGGAAUAUGGCAAAGGCUUCUCUGCAAAGGAAUACCUACGGAAACACCAGAAAAUUCACAUAAAAAGGGAAACUUUCCCAUGUACACAAUGUGGAAAAUGUUUCCUUGAAAAGGAAUACCUGACCGAACACCUGGAAAUUCAUCCAAGGGAAACUUUCUCUUGUACAGAAUGUGGCAAAAAUUUCUCUUCAAAGAGUUACCUUCAGCGGCAUUACAUGAUUCACUCAGGGGAGAAACCUUUCACGUGCGCAGAAUGCGGCAAAUGUUUCCUUGUAAAGGAGUACCUUAGGAAACACCAGGAAAUUCACUCAGGAGAGAAACCUUUCCCAUGUACAGAAUGUGGCAAAGCCUUCUCUGUAAAGGAAUAUCUUCGGAAACACAAGAAAACUCACAUAAAAAGGGAAUAGUUCCCAUGUACAGAAUAUGGCAAAGGCUUCUCUGUAAAGGAAUACCUACGGAAACACCAGAAAAUUCACAUAAAAAGGGAAUAGUUCCCAUGUACGGAAUGUGGCAAAGGCUUCUCUGUAAAGGAAUACCUACGGAAACACCAGAAAAUUCACAUAAAAAGGGAAUAGUUCCCAUGUACGGAAUGUGGCAAAGGCUUCUCUGUAAAGAAAUACCUUCAGAAACACCAGAAAAUUCACAUAAAAAGGGAAUAGUUCCCAUGUACGGAAUGUGGCAAAGGCUUCUCUGUAAAGGAAUACCUUCGGAAACACCAGAAAAUUCACAUAAAAAGGGAAACUUUCCCAUGUACACAAUGUGGCAAAUGUUUCCUUGAAAAGUAAUACCUGACCGAACACCUGGAAAUUCAUCCAAGGGAAACUUUCUCUUGUACAGAAUGUGGCAAAAAUUUCUCUUCAAAGUAUUACCUUCAGCGGCAUUACAUGAUUCACUCAGGGGAGAAAUCUUUCACGUGCACAGAAUGUGGCAAAUGUUUCCUUGUAAAGGAGUACCUUAGGAAACACCAGGAAAUUCACUCAGGAGAGAAACCUUUCCCAUGUACAGAAUGUGGCAAAGGCUUCUCUGUAAAGGAAUACCUUCGGAAACACCAGAAAAUUCACAUAAAAACGGAAUAGUUCCCAUGUACGGAAUGUGGCAAAGGCUUCUCUGUAAAGGAAUACCUACGGAAACACCAGAAAAUUCACAUAAAAAGGGAAUAGUUCCCAUGUACAGAAUGUGGCAAAUCUUUCUCUAACAAGGGCAUCCUUCAAUGGAAUCAGAUAAUCCACACGAGGAGAACAUCUUCCCAUGCCCAAAAGUGAACACAUUCUCUCGUAACAGCUCCCUUUGCCUAAACCAGAUGAUCCAAAAACUUUCACUUGCGUAGAAUGAGGCAUAAGUUGUUUUUUUUUGUAUAUUCUUUAUUUUCAGUUUUAUAUGCGUACAGUACAUAUCAGAACCAGACAGCUUUAUACAGUAGGCAUAAUGAACGCUUCAUGUAUCGGGUAUACUUAUAGAUUUUUUGCAGCCAUGCAAAAUGCAAUGAUAGUUUUCGUAACAUUCUGCUCUGACAAAGUUGUCUAAGAUAGCUUUGAUAUUUAUUAUGCUUAGUUAAGCUGUAGCGGUGGUGUCUCCUAUUGCUGCCCUUAUUGCAAUGUUAUUGUCUGAUAUAGUACUGAGGGAGAAGAACAUGGUGAGAAAAGGAGAGGGGGGAAAGUAACAAGGAAGAACAAAAAAGGUAAAAGUAAUUCUUUAAACCAGGAUAGAAAAGGGAAAAAGAGAGUAUCCAUAAUGGGGAAGCAGAACUUGGAGGUGCCCAGUCGCUCAGUCGCUCUGUUAUUAACUACCUGUCAUCUUCAACAAGUAACAUUUGACCUUUUUGUGUAUAUCUGCUUUCUAGUAGUGCCCCUAGUCCGGUGUCAUUCAUUCAUCUCUAUAUGAUUCUAAAAACAUAACCCAUGGGGACCAUGUCAGGACAAACUUGUCUGGUGUCCCUUGGACGUUGCUAAGUAGUUCCUCCAUUCGCAUAACAUUUCCCAUCUCUUUAACCCAUUCACUUAUAGUAGGGGGGGUAAUGGAUUUCCAGUGGCGUGGUAUCACUGUCCUGGCUGCCCCCAGGCAGAAACCUAACAGAGACCUUUUAUAUUUAAAGACUGAGCCUGGGAGGAUUGAGAGGAUACCUAUCAAGGGAUCUGGUUUUAGAUCUAGACCUGUGCAGGAGUUAAUAACCUUGAAUAUUUGUUCCCAGAAUGGGAUCAGUGGCAUUUCCACCAGAUGUGCAAAGGGGUCCCUAUCUCAGUUCCACAUCUCCAGCACUGCUCCGUGACCGUGGGGUAAAUUUUAUGUAAGAUUUCGGGGCAUUUAUACCACCUUGAGAUUAUUUUAUAAUUUGUCUCUUUGCAAGCUAUAGAAAAUUUGUGCGUAAGAUAAAAGCAAUUUCCCCAUUGAUCUCCUGUAAGUUGCAUCUGCAGCUCCCUCUCCCACUUCUUAGUAAAUUUGGGUAACAUAAUGGUUUUAUUGGUGGUGAGUAACUGAUAUAAGGCAUAAGUUUUUUAAUAGAAGGGAAGCAUUUCCCCUUGAGAAGAUGCCAUGGGAAUCAUGGGCAGGUUUAUUUGCAAAAUGGAGCAUGAUUGGGGUAACUCAGGGGCGUUGCCAUGGGCACACAGGUACUAUUUGUUGGCCAAGCCCUCUGCCCAGGGAGCCAAGUGACAAAUGGGAUAAUAACUGGGGCCUCCUAGGAUAAGGGCCACUGGGGGUGUAUAAGUCUUAACCAAAAAUAGUUUUUCCACUUCCCUAGAAUGCAAUGGAAAACACCAACCAGUGGUAAUGGAAGUUGCUAUUAUUUAAAGGGGUUCUCUCAUCCCAUAAUAUCCCCUUUUUAGUGACCAUUUUUUGCAAACUUCACUUUUUUUCAAAUGCAAAUGAUACAAAUGUUAUAAAAUGACAGAGUGUAAAACUACUGAGCUGUUUCUUCACUUUUCUCUCUUUCACUUUAUUGUUUCAGCAACCGAGGGGUUAAGGGCAGAAGGUUCCUGGCACACAGAGGGUUUUUUUCAUUCUUUUCCCAUAGUAUGGGGCAUAUAGAGCCUUAUUUUUCAUC